AACCCAACACAGAAGGAUCAGCAGCAGUUUCAAAUGACAAGGAACCCUGGCGGUUUUCCAGUGUUCACAGAACCACAAUUACUUACAAUUUUUCACUGUUCCUAACUGUCAGGGCUUUUGUUUUAACACCUGGAUUGUAAGGUGAGGUAGAAGGCAGGACACAAAUGAAAAAAGUAUGCAUGUUUAUUAUGGGAAAUUCAGUAAUUUUCACCAUUACUCAUAGCUCCGGUCCAAGAAAAAGGUGGCAAUAUCAUUUACGAGGACCAAAGAUUUCAUCCCUGAAGGCAGAUGGUGGAACAACAUCAUCAGUGAAGUCUGGCAGAGAAUGACUGACAUGCUUGGUGGAGCCUGGGAGUGGAGAAACAUCCGUAACAAAAGCCUCUUGCAGGGCUGAGGAGAGGUCUUUUGCAAGACCACCAUCCCAACAUAAAGAACACCAACACGAGAAAGGGAUCCCACACCUGACUAUCGGAAGAGUGUGGCAGAAAAAGUGGUCCGAUAUGCUGAGAUCAUCACAUAAUGACUCAUCAGAGCUACACUGCUUCAAUUGAUUGCAAAACUGUGCUGAUGUCAUCAAAGAUAGCUGUGCAGAUUGAUAGACCUCAGAUUGAUCAUGGACCUGCAAGCAUUUGAGCAACCUGUAAUGUUUCAUCAGUGGGGUCGAGAGUUUGUGUGUUAGUACAUUUGCCAGGAAUAUGCUGGUUAGAUUCAUGCACUAGGUCUUAUGUAUACUGAAUGUUUGCUUUAUUUGUUGUAUUUGUUCAUCAUGUAAAAAAAAACAAUCUUAUCCAGAAAAAAACAAAAUCUAUUUUCUUUUCAUUCAGAAAAUGCUCCUUGUUGGGCAAGUAGCCUGUAUAACUCCAAAGAUGUGCUUUAUAGUUGUCCCAUGGGGCCACUACACAGUAAAUGAUACUUUCUUAGGGUGUCCAAGUCAUGACCAUCUGGGCUUUACCACCUGCGUCCUCCCCUGGGAGUUUUAAACCAUAUCAGCACCAGACUGGCCUGGCCAUACAGGGAGAGGAAUGGGCUCCUAUCACCCCCACCCAGGGGUCCUCACUCAGCCUGUCUGGAGCAAACCACACAAAUCAUAUGCUGGCUGGCAUCUGGCCAAACAAUUACA